rnacentral:rRNA from 1 species
AGCCAAACAGCUAGCCCAUUUAACUAACAUCAUCACAAAUCCAUAACUACACCCUAAUUUACUAAAACUAACCAACAAACCAUUUUCCCCUUUUAGUAUGGGAGACAGAAAAAAAACUAAGAGCAAUAGAGAAAGUACCGCAAGGGAACGCUGAAAAAGAAAUGAAAUAAACCAGUUAAGCAAAAAAAAGCAGAGACCCAACCUCGUACCUUUUGCAUCAUGAAUUAGCCAGUAACCCCUAAGCAAAACGAAUUUUAGUUUAGUUCCCCGAAACUGGGUGAGCUACUCCAAGACAGCCUAAAAAUAGGGCAAACCCGUCUCUGUGGCAAAAGAGUGGGGAGAGCUUUGAGUAGAGGUGAAAAUCCUACCGAACCCAGUAAUAGCUGGUUGCCUGAGAAAUGAAUAGGAGUUCAGCCUUUUCCCUUCUUCCCCCUAAAAUGGUCCCCACCUAAUAUGCAGAGUAAAAGAAGAGAAAAGAGUUAGUCAAAGAAGGGACAGCUUCUUUGAAAAAAGACACAACUUUUAAAGGAGGUAAAAAAUCAAAUUUUGAUUAAGGCAACAUGUUAUGGUGGGCCUAAAAGCAGCCAUCCCAAAAGAAAGCGUUAUAGCUCAAACAUCACCCCCGCCUUUAAUACUGAUAAACUAAUUUUAUACCCCUUAACCUAACAGGCCUCUCUAUCAUAAUAUAGAAGAGAUAAUGCUAAUAUGAGUAAUAAGAGACGCAACUCUCUCCAGGCAUAAGUGUACAUCAGAACAGACCCCCUACUGAAAAUUAACGACUCCAAACAAAGAGGAUACUGGAGAAUAAACAGAUAACUAGAAAACCCUCCAACAAUUACCGUUAACCCCACACUGGAAUGCCCCAUGGAAAGACCUAAAGGAGAAGAAGGAACUCGGCAAACAUAAUAACGGCCCCGCCUGUUUACCAAAAACAUCGCCUCUUGCUUAAAAAAUAUAAGAGGUCCCGCCUGCCCUGUGACAAAAAGUUUAACGGCCGCGGUAUCUUAACCGUGCGAAGGUAGCGCAAUCACUUGUUUCUUAAAUGGAGACCUGUAUGAAUGGCAUUACGAGGGCCAAACUGUCUCCUUCCCCUAGUCAAUGAAAUUGAUCUCCCCGUGCAGAAGCGGGGAUAAAAACAUAAGACGAGAAGACCCUUUGGAGCUUAAGACUAAAGACAGACCAUGCUAAUAAAACCAAACAAACGGUUAUAAGCCAAUUGGAAAACACUGUUCUAAUGUCUUUGGUUGGGGCGACCGAGGGGAAACAAAAAACCCCCAUGUGGAGCAGGAGAACUUUUCUCCCACAACCCAGAUCAACAGAUCUAAGUACCAGAAAUUCUGACCAAAAAGAUCCGGCAAAGCCGAUCAACGGACCGAGUUACCCUAGGGAUAACAGCGCAAUCCCCUUUUAGAGCCCAUAUCGACAAGGGGGUUUACGACCUCGAUGUUGGAUCAGGACAUCCUAAUGGUGCAGCCGCUAUUAAGGGUUCGUUUGUUCAACGAUUAAAGUCCUACGUGAUCUGAGUUCAGACCGGAGAAAUCCAGGUCAGUUUCUAUCUAUGAAUUAUUCUACUCUAGUACGAAAGGACCGAAUAGAAAAGGCCCAUUCCCAAAGCAAGCCUUACCCUUACCUAAUGAAGACCAACUAAAAUAGGUAAAAGGAUAUAUACCCACCGACUGUAGAAAACAGUAU